rnacentral:lncRNA from 1 species
CCUAACAAACCUUCAGCCGCACCCCAGCCCUAUCCCGCCUCUGCCAUGUCCCUUACCCCAAACUCGCCAAAAAAACUUGCCAUCCCGGCGAGUUAGCUCAUCGGUCCCCCCCACGGCCGCCCUCCUCUCCAUUCUUUCUUCCACGCCACUCACCCCAUGCCAACUUCAUUAUUUCUACGCGUUUUCUUGGUCUCCAAGUUCAAAUCGAAUGAAUGGGCGCCAUAGAUUGAAUAAAAUAUCAAUCUAGACCUCCAUUUGUUUGAUUUCGAGCUAUAAAAGAGAGAAAUCAGAAGAUUUUUGAGGGAGUUCUUUUUAGGGGCGAGAAUUUUCAGGAAAAAAGAAAAAAGAGAGACAGAGAUAGAAACACUGGGUUUGUGGAUCUUUUUCAUCUUUGUUCUUAUUCUAUUUUCAGAAAUACAAAAAAAGAGAGAAAAAUAAACAACAGAGAAAAGGUUGAAAGGUCAGGUUUCUCUCUGGUUCUAUUGAUAUUUUGGUUUGCUUUGCUUUCCAGAGAAACAAAAAUACAAAAAUGAAAUAAAUAAAUAAUUUGAGUUUGAUUUUCGUUCGAGCAUUGUUCUAUUUCAAAAAAUUAGAAAAUUCCCCGAAAAUAUUUUAGUUUCUUCUCUUGGUUUUGGUUUCAACAUGGAGAUCGAUUGAUCUGAAGUCGAGUUUGCCGCUCGGGUUUUUGGUUCAUGUCCUCCAACCCUACUCGUGUUCGGCCUUCGCACAAGAGAUUGUUCUCAUUGAUUUCUCCUGUAAUUAUUAAAGGAAUCUUCGGCUCGAACAGGUUUGUUUCUUUCCUUUUCAUUUCACUAGUGGUGUGAUGAAAUGGUAAUAAGAGCUGGGGACCGGGGACAGUUUUAAAUCACUUAAGUCAUGAUUUGAUACAAUCUGUUGUGACUAGAGUAAUAUGAACCUCUUGAAAUAUUCUGUAGUUGUCUCUAAAUUUGAAUCUAUUUGGCAUAUGUCUCUACUUUGAUAGUAGUGAGAAUCAUGAAUUGGUGAUAUAUUUCAUUUAUUAUUUUAUGCAAUUUUUGUCGAGUGUGAGAAGGUCUUGUGAUGGCAUGGGUUUCAUUCUCGUGAAGUAAAGGAAUGCAGUGCCGGCACAAGCAUGAAAUGCCCUGUUUUCAGUUCCUCUGAGUUUGUGUUAGACUCUUUUUGUCAACUCUGCUGAUUUCCUUUCUAAUUUAUGUUAAGAACAUCCGAAUUUCACAAGGCAAUUUGAGAUUAUA